rnacentral:rRNA from 1 species
CCUACGGGAGGCUGCAGUGAGGAAUAUUGGUCAAUGGACGAGAGUCUGAACCAGCCAAGUAGCGUGAAGGAUGACUGCCCUAUGGGUUGUAAACUUCUUUUAUAAAGGAAUAAAAGGAGGCACGUGUGCCUUUUUGCAUGUACUUUAUGAAUAAGGAUCGGCUAACUCCGUGCCAGCAGCCGCGGUAAUACGGAGGAUCCGAGCGUUAUCCGGAUUUAUUGGGUUUAAAGGGAGCGUAGAUGGGUUGUUAAGUCAGUUGUGAAAGUUUGCGGCUCAACCGUAAAAUUGCAAUUGAUACUGGCAGUCGUGAGUACAGUUGAGGUAGGCGGAAUUCGUGGUGUAGCGGUGAAAUGCUUAGAUAUCACGAAGAACCCCGAUUGCGAAGGCAGCUUACUAAACUGUGACUGACAUUGAUGCUCGAAAGUGUGGGUAUCAAACAGGAUUAGAUACCCCGGUAGUC